CACCUCUCAGGACCGCACCUGGAGAGUUUCCAGUCCUCUACCAGUCUGGGCUCUGGGAGGGAGAGUCAAGCAGAGUCAUACCCAUUCCAUUCCUAGCUUGGGCAGCGUCUAAUGAGUGGAAGGCAAUUUGCUGCAGGG